rnacentral:rRNA from 1 species
AGCUUGAUGCGGUUUUGGAUGGACUCGCGGCCUAUCAGCUAGUUGGUUGGGGUAAUGGCCCACCAAGGCGACGACGGGUAGCCGGCCUGAGAGGGUGACCGGCCACACUGGGACUGAGACACGGCCCAGACUCCUACGGGAGGCAGCAGUGGGGAAUAUUGCACAAUAGGGGAAAGCCUGAUGCAGCGACGCCGCGUGAGGGACGAAGACGGGUCGGGUUGUAAACCUCUUUCAGCAGGAAGAAGCGAAAGUGAC